CAGUUCAGGCCACAUGAGUGUUGGGCCAAACACAAUCCCAAUGCCCUGCGUUGACAUCAGGUUCUUCAACGACUUGGUGAGAAUCCUGAAAGAAGAACAACAAAACGUUGGAAAUUACAAUGAUUUCAAAUGCUAUUAAGUUCCCCUCCGGCUACAGGAAAUGUGUCGAGCUUCACCAUCUCCAUGGAUACAGGCCAGACAUACUACAACCUGGUCACUUUGAUUACCAGCAAACCUGCCAUCAUUUCAACGAGGACAGACCGGGAUUUAAGAUUUGGAUCCGCCUUUAAGAGACUAUGACUAUGAACACGACUGAGUCAGCCAUGGCGAGACACAUCUGACUUCAUCUCAAAGGUUGGUUAAAAACAACAUGGGUCCCUCAUGUGACUGCUACGUUAGCUCCUCCCAGCGGUCCAAUCAGAAGCCCAUAGUAUAAUGGAUAUCACCAGGUAUAAAUGUGCUGCUAGCCCCUGCGGCCUGUAGCAUUGCACGGUCUUUAUGGCGUGAAAUUAUUACUGGCUAAAGCAGUCAGGGAGUGCAGAGGAGGACAUGUGAUUCAGCUACAAUGCUCUUGGCAAACGGUUGCAAAAGGCUCGGUGGUAAAAGGAGGGGCGUCUCUGCCAAUUUCACAUUGGAACAAAUUUUCACAAAUUUAAAAGUAUAAUAAUAAAGAAAUAUAUAUA